rnacentral:rRNA from 1 species
UUUGAAAUCUGGCCCUUGUGGUCCGAGUUGUAAUUUGUAGAGGAUGCUUUUGGUGCGGUGCCUUCCGAGUUCCCUGGAACGGGACGCCAUAGAGGGUGAGAGCCCCGUCUGGUUGGACACCAAGCCUCUGUAAAGCUCCUUCGACGAGUCGAGUAGUUUGGGAAUGCUGCUCUAAAUGGGAGGUAUAUGUCUUCUAAAGCUAAAUACCGGCCAGAGACCGAUAGCGCACAAGUAGAGUGAUCGAAAGAUGAAAAGCACUUUGAAAAGAGGGUUAAAUAGUACGUGAAAUUGUUGAAAGGGAAGCGUUUGUGACCAGACUUGGGCUUGGUUAAUCAUCCAGCGUUCUCGCUGGUGCACUUUGCCAGCCCAGGCCAGCAUCAGUUCGCUGCGGGGGAUAAAAGAUCUGGGAAUGUGGCUCUUCGGAGUGUUAUAGCCUGUUUCUUAAUACCCUGUGGUGGACUGAGGUUCGCGCAUCUGCAAGGAUGCUGGCGUAAUGGUCAUCAACGACCCGUCUUGAAACACGGACCAAGGAGUCGUCUUCGUAUGCGAGUGUUCGGGUGUCAAACCCCUACGCGUAAUGAAAGUGAACGGAGGUGGGAGCCUCGGCGCACCAUCGACCGAUCCUGAUGUUUUCGGAUGGAUUUGAGUAAGAGCAUACGGGGCCGGACCCGAAAGAAGGUGAACUAUGCCUGUAUAGGGUGAAGCCAGAGGAAACUCUGGUGGAGGCUCGCAGCGGUUCUGACGUGCAAAUCGAUCGUCAAAUAUGGGCA